rnacentral:tRNA from 1 species
GGCCGGUUAGCUCAGUGGGUUAGAGCGUGGUGCUGAUAACACCAAGGCUGUGGGUUCGAUCCCCGCUCGGUCC